AUGUUCACUGUUAUAUUCAUGUAUCUGUGGCUUUCACUAGGUGACUCCAUGGCAGAUUCAAUAGAGCCACUUUUCACUCAGAAAGUUGUAGAUGAAGGUGAUGUUACUCUGUCCUGCAGAUACAAAUUCAGCAGUGGUACAAACAACAACCUUCAGUGGUACAGACAAUAUCCAAAAUCUAAACCUGAGUUCAUUCUUAAUAUUCUUCCAAGUGGAACUCUACUUUCCAACACUCAGCCAAGAAUGUCUGUUAAAGUUGAUGAUAAACAAGUGGAUCUGAUCAUCUCCUCUGCUGCUGUAUCAGACUCUGCUCUAUACUACUGUGCUCUGCAGCCCACAGUGACAGGAAAUCCAGCUGCACUGUACAAAAACUAA